GAUGAACGCUGGCGGCGUGCCUAAUACAUGCAAGUCGAGCGAACGGACGAGAAGCUUGCUUCUCUGAUGUUAGCGGCGGACGGGUGAGUAACACGUGGAUAACCUACCUAUAAGACUGGGAUAACUUCGGGAAACCGUAGCUAAUACCGGAUAAUAUUUUGAACCGCAUGGUUCAAAAGUGAAAGACGGUCUUGCUGUCACUUAUAGAUGGAUCCGCGCUGCAUUAGCUAGUUGGUAAGGUAACGGCUUACCAAGGCAACGAUGCAUAGCCGACCUGAGAGGGUGAUCGGCCACACUGGAACUGAGACACGGUCCAGACUCCUACGGGAGGCAGCAGUAGGGAAUCUUCCGCAAUGGGCGAAAGCCUGACGGAGCAACGCCGCGUGAGUGAUGAAGGUCUUCGGAUCGUAAAACUCUGUUAUUAGGGAAGAACAUAUGUGUAAGUAACUGUGCACAUCUUGACGGUACCCAGUCAGAAAGCCACGGCUAACUACGUG
rnacentral:rRNA from 1 species